rnacentral:rRNA from 1 species
GACGAACGCUGGCGGCGUGCCUAAUACAUGCAAGUCGAGCGAAUGAAUGGGAGCUUGCUCCUGUUCGUUAGCGGCGGACGGGUGAGUAACACGUGGGCAACCUGCCUGUAAGACUGGGAUAACUUCGGGAAACCGGAGCUAAUACCGGAUAGUUUCUUUCAUCACAUGAAGAAGGAUGGAAAGACGGUUUUGCUGUCACUUACAGAUGGGCACGAGGCGCAUUAGCUAGUUGGUGAGGUAAUGGCUCACCAAGGCGACGAUGCGUAGCCGACCUGAGAGGGUGAUCGGCCACACUGGGACUGAGACACGGCCCAGACUCCUACGGGAGGCAGCAGUAGGGAAUCUUCCGCAAUGGACGAAAGUCUGACGGAGCAACGCCGCGUGAGUGAAGAAGGUUUUCGGAUCGUAAAACUCUGUUGUCAGGGAAGAACAAGUACCAGAGUAACUGCUGGUACCUUGACGGUACCUGACCAGAAAGCCACGGCUAACUACGUGCCAGCCGCCGCAGUAAUAC